rnacentral:rRNA from 1 species
UACAGAGGGGGCAAGCGUUGUUCGGAAUUACUGGGCGUAAAGGGCGCGUAGGCGGCCCGCUAAGUCGAACGUGAAAUCCCCGAGCUCAACUCGGGAACUGCGUCUGAUACUGGAUGGCUUGAAUUCGGGAGAGGGAUGCAGAAUUCCAGGUGUAGCGGUGAAAUGCGUAGAUAUCUGGAGGAAUACCGGUGGCGAAGGCGGCAUCCUGGACCGAGAUUGACACUGAUGAGCGAAAGCCAGGGGAGCAAACGGG